rnacentral:rRNA from 1 species
CCUACGGGGGGCAGCAGUGGGGAAUAUUGGACAAUGGGCGAAAGCCUGAUCCAGCCAUGCCGCGUGUGUGAAGAAGGCCUUCGGGUUGUAAAGCACUUUCAGUGGGGAAGAAAGCCUUGGGGCUAAUACCCUCGAGGAAGGACAUCACCCACAGAAGAAGCACCGGCUAACUCCGUGCCAGCAGCCGCGGUAAUACGGAGGGUGCGAGCGUUAAUCGGAAUUACUGGGCGUAAAGCGCGCGUAGGCGGUCUGAUAAGCCGGUUGUGAAAGCCCCGGGCUCAACCUGGGAACGGCAUCCGGAACUGUCAGGCUAGAGUGCAGGAGAGGAAGGUAGAAUUCCCGGUGUAGCGGUGAAAUGCGUAGAGAUCGGGAGGAAUACCAGUGGUGAAGGCGGCCUUCUGGACUGACACUGACGCUGAGGUGCGAAAGCGUGGGUAGCAAACAGGAUUAGAUACCCUAGUAGUC